rnacentral:lncRNA from 14 species
GGAGUGUGGGGGGCGCUGGUUCCUGUGGGUUUGGCUAAACCGUGUCCUCUCGUGCUUGCCUGAUUGUGAUGCUGUCUAUGUUGCUGAUAAAGCUUGAAUAAAAGCACUCAACUUACACUGUUUCUGACAA